rnacentral:rRNA from 1 species
AACAACUAUAGUUUAUUAGUGACUGUGGUAAUUCUAGAACUAAUACAUGAAGCUCGAGGAGCGCUUAUUAGAACAAAACCAAUCGGACCUUCUGAAUAGCUUUGCCAAUCGCAUGGUCCGAACCUCAAAUGUCUGCCUUAUCAACUUUCGAUGGUAGUUUAUGCGCCAUAAGGGUUCGACUCAGGGAGCCUGAGAAACGGCUACCAUAUCCAAGGAAGGCAGCAGGCACGCCGGCACGGGGAGGUAUUGACGAAAGUUCUCUACGAGGCUCCUUUAACGAGGAUCUAUUGAGGGCAAGUCUCCAGCUCCAAUAGCGUAUAUUAAAUUAAAAAGCUCGUUGGAUCUGCGGCCUACUUUUCCUGGCCUACCUCUCCGUGCUCUUCAAUGAGACCCGUCCCCGAGUGAUCCCGCUCUCAGAAUGAAAUUUGAUAUUUGCCUUAAUAGUGGUGCAUGGUAUAAUGGAAUAGCGGAUGAUUAAGAGGGACAGACGGGGGCGUUGGUGAAAUUCUUGGAUCGCAGCGAGUCAGGCAACUGCGAAGGCAUUCGCCAAGAAUGUUUUCAUUAAUCAAGAACGAAAGUUAGAGGUUCGAAGGCGAUCAGAUACCGCCCUAGUUCUAACAACUACGCAAACCAGAAAUUCGCGGGAGUUAAUACAUGACUUCGCGAGCGCCGGGAAACCAAAGAUAUGUUCCGGGGGUAGUAUGGUUGCAAAGCUGAAACUUAAAGGAAUACGGAAGGGCACCACCAGGAGUGGAGCCUGCGGCUUAAUUUGACUCAACGCGGGGAAACUUACCCGGCCCGGACACCGUAAGGAUUGACAGAUUGAGAGCUCUUUCUUGAUUCGGUGGGUGGUGGUGCAGGCCGUUCUUAGUUGGUGGAGCGAUUUGUCU